GUCGAACGGACAGGUAAUGAAACCUAGUGAUUUAUCUGUUAGUGGCGGACGGGUGAGUAACGCGUGGGUAACCUGCCGUAUACAGGGGGAUAACACUUAGAAAUAGGUGCUAAAACCGCAUAAGCGCACAGGAUCGCAUGGUCUGGUGUGAAAAACUCCGGUGGUAUACGAUGGACCCGCGUCUGAUUAGCUUGUUGGUGGGGUAGAGGCCCACCAAGGCGACGAUCAGUAGCCGGCCUGAGAGGGUGAACGGCCACAUUGGGACUGAGACACGGCCCAAACUCCUACGGGAGGCAGCAGUGGGGAAUAUUGCACAAUGGGGGAAACCCUGAUGCAGCGACGCCGCGUGAGUGAAGAAGUAUUUCGGUAUGUAAAGCUCUAUCAGCAGGAAAUAAAAUGACGGUACCU
rnacentral:rRNA from 1 species